UACGGCCAUAUUGCUUUGAAAUGCCAGUUUUCGUCCGAUCACCGAAGUUAGGUAACGUCGAGCCUGGUCUGUACUUAGAUGGGUGACCACUUAGGAAUACAAGAUGCUGUAA